GACGCUGGCGACGUGCUUAAUACAUGCAAGUCAACUUGACUUUAGAUAGCAAUAUCGAAAGUAGGGUGGCGCACGGGUGCGUAACGCGUAGGUAAUCUGCCCUGAGGUCUGACAUAACCCGUCGAAAGGCGGGCUAACAUCAGAUGAUAUAUAAUCACGACAUCGUGGAAAUAUCAAAUCUUCGGAGCCUUGGGAUGAGCCUGCGUCUGAUUAGGUAGUUGGCGGAGUAAUAGCCCACCAAGCCUACGAUCAGUAGCUGGUCUGAGAGGAUGAUCAGCCACACUGGAACUGAGACACGGUCCAGACUCCUACGGGAGGCAGCAGUAAGGAAUAUUGCUCAAUGGGGGAAACCCUGAAGCAGCAACGCCGCGUGAAGGAUGAAAUACUUUGUAUGUAAACUUCUGUAAGAUGGGAAAAAUAUUCUCCUCGGGAGAAUUGAUUGUACCAUCAGAGUAAGCCCCGGCUAACUACGUG
rnacentral:rRNA from 1 species